rnacentral:lncRNA from 1 species
CUAGCCCGUCACGUACAAUAAUGUGCACAACUUUGCAUAACUAAUUAGGCCUCCUUAGAUAAUUAUGGGAGAUGUUGUGUAACACCCUAGGCGAUUCCCACAUCGGCAAAGCACAGGAGAGAUGCUGGGUUUAUAAGGGGUGAUCCAUACCUUAAUUGGCAAGACGCGUUUUGGGGUGUAUGGGCGCCCCAAGAACAAAUCCGUGCGGGCCUUGUUGAGGCCCAAAGCGGACAAUAUCUUGCCAGGUCUGGGUUGGGUCAUGACAUGUUGUAUGAG